UGGUGGCAUUUUAUUUUAUUAGAGGAAUAUGUUUAAUAAUCGUAACCACACGAUUACUUUCACUUUUAAUUAUAUUUUAUAUACCGCCGUCUUGAAUAAAUCAUAAAAUUUUGUUCAAAAUAAAAUUCUAAAAAUUUAGGUAAAGGUGUAAACUAUCUAAAAGAUAAAAUGUAUUACAUUAAAAAAAAAUUUAAGGACUAAAUUAAAAUAUAAUUUAAGAAAAAGGAUUUAUAAGUAUUAUUUAAUCAAAAUUAAAAUUUGAAUUAAAAAUAAAUG
rnacentral:rRNA from 1 species